rnacentral:rRNA from 1 species
AAAUUGAAGAGUUUGAUCAUGGCUCAGAUUGAACGCUGGCGGCAGGCCUAACACAUGCAAGUCGAACGGUAACAGGAAGCAGCUUGCUGCUUCGCUGACGAGUGGCGGACGGGUGAGUAAUGUCUGGGAAACUGCCUGAUGGAGGGGGAUAACUACUGGAAACGGUGGCUAAUACCGCAUAACGUCGCAAGACCAAAGAGGGGGACCUUCGGGCCUCUUGCCAUCAGAUGUGCCCAGAUGGGAUUAGCUUGUUGGUGAGGUAACGGCUCACCAAGGCGACGAUCCCUAGCUGGUCUGAGAGGAUGACCAGCCACACUGGAACUGAGACACGGUCCAGACUCCUACGGGAGGCAGCAGUGGGGAAUAUUGCACAAUGGGCGCAAGCCUGAUGCAGCCAUGCCGCGUGUAUGAAGAAGGCCUUCGGGUUGUAAAGUACUUUCAGCGGGGAGGAAGGUGUUGUGGUUAAUAACCGCAGCAAUUGACGUUACCCGCAGAAGAAGCACCGGCUAACUCCGUGCCAGCAGCCGCGGUAAUACGGAGGGUGCAAGCGUUAAUCGGAAUUACUGGGCGUAAAGCGCACGCAGGCGGUCUGUCAAGUCGGAUGUGAAAUCCCCGGGCUCAACCUGGGAACUGCAUUCGAAACUGGCAGGCUUGAGUCUUGUAGAGGGGGUAGAAUUCGGGUGUAGCGGUGAAAUGCGUAGAGAUCUGGAGGAAUACCGGUGGCGAAGGCGGCCCCUGGACAAAGACUGACGCUCAGGUGCGAAAGCGUGGGGAGCAAACAGGAUUAGAUACCCUGGUAGUCCACGCCGUAAACGAUGUCUACUUGGAGGUUGUGCCCUUGAGGCGUGGCUUCCGGAGCUAACGCGUUAAGUAGACCGCCCGGGAGUACGGCCGCAAGGUUAAAACUCAAAUGAAUUGACGGGGGCCCGCACAAGCGGUGGAGCAUGUGGUUUAAUUCGAUGCAACGCGAAGAACCUUACCUGGUCUUGACAUCCACAGAAGAAUCCAGAGAUGGAUUUGUGCCUUCGGGAACUGUGAGACAGGUGCUGCAUGGCUGUCGUCAGCUCGUGUUGUGAAAUGUUGGGUUAAGUCCCGCAACGAGCGCAACCCUUAUCCUUUGUUGCCAGCGGUUAGGCCGGGAACUCAAAGGAGACUGCCAGUGAUAAACUGGAGGAAGGUGGGGAUGACGUCAAGUCAUCAUGGCCCUUACGACCAGGGCUACACACGUGCUACAAUGGCGCAUACAAAGAGAAGCGACCUCGCGAGAGCAAGCGGACCUCAUAAAGUGCGUCGUAGUCCGGAUUGGAGUCUGCAACUCGACUCCAUGAAGUCGGAAUCGCUAGUAAUCGUGGAUCAGAAUGCCACGGUGAAUACGUUCCCGGGCCUUGUACACACCGCCCGUCACACCAUGGGAGUGGGUUGCAAAAGAAGUAGGUAGCUUAACCUUCGGGAGGGCGCUUACCACUUUGUGAUUCAUGACUGGGGUGAAGUCGUAACAAGGUAACCGUAGGGGAACCUGCGGUUGGAUCACCUCCUUACCUUAAAGAA